CUUAAAUUGAAGAGUUUGAUCAUGGCUCAGAUUGAACGCUGGCGGCAGGCCUAACACAUGCAAGUCGAGCGGAAACGACACUAACAAUCCUUCGGGUGCGUUAAUGGGCGUCGAGCGGCGG
rnacentral:rRNA from 1 species